GGAAACUGUUCUGUACCCUUGGGUCUGCCAGUCGAGGCCGUACACCUUGGCCCUGCCUGAAACUGACUCAAGGGGACUUCAAAAGCACAUCUUUCAGUUAGUUGGUGUUACUUACAGCACACCAUAGCCAGUGUCUAUCUACAGAUCAGCUUGCAGCUUCAUGUGAAGCAUCCAGUUUCCUGAGGGAUGAAAAGCAUGGCUAGUGUGGAGCUUUCAAGGAUCAGCUAUGUCCAACUCAUAACUGAAUUGGCUUAGCAGCACAGCAUAGACUGAAAAGGUCACAGUGAUUUUGGAUACUCAAAGUGGCUCCACCUGGCUCUUUUCUGAUUGAGCUUGGGAAUAUCUGCUGCCAUCAGGUGACCAUUUCAAAGGGUACUUACCAAUGAAGCUAUUGAAGGCACAUACAGAAUACAAAGAAAAGAAAUAAAUCAUCUGUCCUUCCUUGAAGAACAGCAACAUAUUUUCUCAGCAGGCAAAUAUAUGAGAGGCCUACAGGGAUUGCAGGAUCUGGCCACACCUUGCCACAGUGCCUGCUAGUCACCCAGAGCCUUUGCUGGAAGUGGAUUUCUCCAGGCAAUGGUGGAAGAGUGACUCCAUACUUCUGCCGUGAACUCCUGCCUUCUCAUUGUACCUCUAGUACUACCUUGAUAUGAUAUAUUGGAUUACCAUACAGUUUAGACUGUCUGGAGCAUUGUAACACUUGUAUGCUCAUUUCCACAGUUUCCUGCCAAUGAUAAAACAUGAUACAAUGAUAAGAUGGCAGUAAAGAAAGUGUCAAAAAAAAAAUGCUGAAAAUGAGCUUGAGAACUGCAGAUACGUCACACAUAAAGAGAGGCUGUGCAGGCUGGAUGUCCUUGGAAGCCAGGAGGGGUUUUAAACAAUAUCCAAUAUACACAUCCUAUUUCCCAUUUGACAGAAGAUACAUUACAGGUCCCAGAAAACUGGGUUUAAAAGGCAAUAGGACAAGUCUUUCCCCACAAAAUCCUAUCUCAGGACAAGGUAGAAGUUGAGAAAUCAUUAUCUACUGAGAGAAAAUGAUGUGACCAGCAUAUCCCAAGGCAAUGUUCACAUUUCAAAAGAAGACGAGUCUUUAAUGUGUUCUCAUAUUGACAGUUGCAGUAAGGAGGGGCUCAGAGCAGGCCGUGUCAGAGAGCAGCACUUCUCUGCUGUGCCUCUUGAACGUGCACCUGGGUAGCUUAGUCUGGAAGGAAAAGAGAGUGGCUGUCUGCCUGUGACAAUGAAUGGUAGGAAAAGGCCUCUAGUCUAUUAGCAAUUAACUUACAGUUUGACUUUAUGUCUUAUUACUGCAGUGACUUAUAAAACUAUUUUUAAAUAUGUGGUGGGAACUGGCAUGAGGCAGCAGA